AACAAAAGAACAAAUUUCAACAAUAAAAUAGGAACUAUUUUAUUUCCACUCGAAACAAAAUUAUAUUAAAAUGUCCAUGAGCCUCUCAGAAUAGUCAUUCAUGGCAAAAGAAUUAUACAAUUCCAAUUGACAUUCUCCAAAACCGACGUCCAACAAGUACAAUCAAAUGACCCAUUCAUAACCAAACUUUAAAGUGGAACACUAUUCAAAGCUAGCUGCCGAAUUCUGGGACCCAGCUGGUCAACUCAAAGGGCCAUGAAUACAGUAAGAAUUAUAUUUUAUCGUGAUGGUUUCACCUCUGGUGGGCCUGUUGAUCCAGAGCUUCGACAUACAACAAAAGUUCUUAAAGACAAAC